UGGGGAAUAUUGGACAAUGGGGGCAACCCUGAUCCAGCAAUGCCGCGUGUGUGAAGAAGGUCUUCGGAUUGUAAAGCACUUUCGACGGGGACGAUGAUGACGGUACCCGUAGAAGAAGCCCCGGCUAACUUCGUGCCAGCAGCCGCGGUAAUACGAAGGGGGCUAGCGUUGCUCGGAAUGACUGGGCGUAAAGGGCGUGUAGGCGGUUUACACAGUCAGAUGUGAAAUCCCCGGGCUUAACCUGGGAGCUGCAUUUGAUACGUGUAGACUAGAGUGUGAGAGAGGGUUGUGGAAUUCCCAGUGUAGAGGUGAAAU
rnacentral:rRNA from 1 species